CAGCCGCCGCGGGAAAACGUAGGGUGCGAGCGUUAAUCGGAAUUACUGGGCGUAAAGCGUGCGCAGGCGGUUAUAUAAGACAGAUGUGAAAUCCCCGGGCUCAACCUGGGACCUGCAUUUGUGACUGUAUAGCUAGAGUACGGUAGAGGGGGAUGGAAUUCCGCGUGUAGCAGUGAAAUGCGUAGAUAUGCGGAGGAACACCGAUGGCGAAGGCAAUCCCCUGGACCUGUACUGACGCUCAUGCACGAAAGCGUGGGGAGCAAACAGGAUUAGAUACCCGCGUAGUCCCUGUCUCUUAUAC
rnacentral:rRNA from 1 species